AGCUUUGCGCAGUGGCAGUAUCAUAGCCAAUGAGGUUUAUCCGAGGUGCGAUUAUUGCUAAUUGAGAUAGAACUUAUUUUAAAAGGCUAUAAAUUUAUCACUUGAUCUUUCUCCUCCAGGUUACCCAGCUGGGUAAUAACCUAAACAAUAACAUUAGUCUCUACCCUUUCCAUCUGUAACGCUUCAGCAAAUUAUAAUUCUGUUCCACAACA
ensembl:snRNA U4 U4 spliceosomal RNA